rnacentral:lncRNA from 1 species
GCCGAUCAACUUCUCCACCAGAGAGAUGAACAAUACCGGAAGUUACAUUCCGUAGAUGCAACUUUCCAAAAGGCUUCAAGAGCUACAUUGGGCUAAAUACCCUUAGAGCCACUUGAAGAUGCAAUUGCAUCUCGCCAGAGUCGUGUAAAAAACCGAACCAAACACCUUUGCAUUUGGCCAAGGGACUUUAGAGCCCAAAUGAGCAUUCCAAAUACUGAACCAAAUGUGGCCGUUCUUCACCUAAGGUCCCCAUCUGCCGUCCUUUCUUCCCUUUUGUCUUUUUUCAUUUCUUUUCAUUACCUCUUUUUAUUUUCUUUUCUUUUCGUUUCCUCUUACUUUUCUUUUCCCUUUUGGUCGUCUUCUUCUUCGUGCAUCCCCUCUGCACGCCCGACGUUAUCCAAACCCGCUAGAGCCAAAGCAAACCCAGACCCAUUAAACUCAUCUAACUCAACCGAUCAAGACUCGCUGGAGCUCAAAACUCCAUAGACCAGAUUAAACCCAUCGUCCAGCAUGACUCAUUUAACAUUCCGCACCAAAGUAUGACUUCUAAAACAAAGCCCGCACUAACCAAAAGCAACGCCAUUUUCAAUUUGACCAAAAUAAGCCCAAAACCAUCUCCUAUUGGCCACUUUACUCAGCCUCGCACGGUCUUCUUGCUCCUGUUAUUGCAGAAGAAAAAAGGAGCCGAAGAUUGAAUAUGAACUCCGGGCAAUCAAAGGGCUGAUAACACCUCCAAACUCCAACAUAACCGAGACUCCAUCACCACCCGACCAUCAUCUACUCUCACUUAUGAACAUGCCAACAUUUACCACACAAAGGCCACAAAGGCACCGAACAAGACUCGACAAAGGGGAAAAGCACAUGGAACACAGAAAAAAAAAAAAACAUGUGUUGAGGUUAGUAAAAGAUCACCAUUAAACAAAACUAUCACUACACAUUUCAGCGACCAAAAAUCGGAGGAAAAUAUGUGCGAUCUUGGUUAAAACAUUUUGUCAAAUAAAUGGUCUGCAGUAGCUCUGUAAAACCCAACACGCACACGGACUAACAAAAGGAACAAGUCUUGGUUUCCUGGCUUGGCCAAACCAGGGUGAGGCACCAAAAGACUUGAGGAGCGAGCGCUUGGUCGUGGGGGUCCUUACCGGCUCGGAGACGGCGGCGGGAGGGCGAGCUCGAGAUGAAUCAAGCAAUGGCCGACCGCCCCCACAAUGUUUCCGAUUCGAGAUACUCGGGAGAAGGGAGGUUCGUACCAGAAAAAUGAAACUCACCGGAGGUUUGGGUACAGGGGUGACCAGAUCGGGACGACGAGGAUAACGAUCGGGAUCGUUGAACAAGACUCAGGCGCGCCAAUCGACCCGAGAACUCCUCGCUUUCAGUCGCUCUCUUCUUUGCCGAGAACAACACCAUCGCCAGGAUCUCUCUUGGAGAAACGCCAUCGCUAAAACUCGUCAACCACUACCCACGAUCAACGAGAUAAGGCUUCAUGGAAGACGAUCGGAAAAACUUGAACUCGAGGCAAGGGAAGCUGCGGCUUGUUGGUUCCGGUUAGGAGGCGCAACCUCGCGUCGGGGGUGGCUAAGCGACGCUCGGCUGAGGUGGAUUCCAGGUCUCCCUCUUCCCGGUCACUCUCCGUUUCUCCCCCUCUGGCUCCCUCAAGCUCUCUCCCUCUCUGUCUCUAUCUGUCUCUCUCCGCCCCCUUUUGGGAGCAACCGGCCGGCGCGCAUGGCCUCUGCCGCUGCCAGCUUGCCGGCCGGACUGCUCCCGACCCGCGGAUCACGCCGCCCGCCUGCCCCUCGCGAUCCCUUCUGCCUCUGUCCUUUUGCUAUGUUCCUUUGCUUCUUUU